rnacentral:tRNA from 1 species
UAUAAUGUGGUGUUAGUUGGCAUAAUAUGUUUUGGUCAUAUAGGUGGUUUGUAGCUCAUUAUAG